rnacentral:lncRNA from 1 species
AGCUCCCCCUCUAGUGUUCACUGCUCAUCAAAUGAUUCCUCCAACAAAUAGAGAGCUGCUCGGUUUUUGGUUCCCCAUAGAAGGACAUAGCUCGGAGCGACAUUUCUAAGUGUUUGAUGGCACAAAGAGGAAAAGCGGUGUCUCCGAGGGACCUGCAUUGUGCCAUGAAUGAACUGACCAUCUCUCAAACUGGCUAAUCGCCACCCCUGUGGAGAAACUAAGGCUUCAAAAAAAGUCAAAAACAAAGUUAAAACAAUGAUGGAGUAGCCAGCUCUCUUGGGAGACCUCUGAUUGUGUCUCUGGUCAAAACCAACCUCCCUCAUUUCUGAAAUUCUGGCUUUUCUGUGAAGAUCAGCCUCUUCCUAAGCUGCAUCAACUUCAAAUAUUCUGCUGGCAGUGUCUGCACAAGAGGCUGCUAGGCUUCAGUCUGCCACAGGCCCUGGGAUUCUGCAGGGUCCAGAAUCCUAUGGUGUAUGUCUAUUCAUUUCAAAUAGUUUUCAAAAAUAGAAAAAUGUGAGAGGAUGAAUGCUUAAUAUUAAAUGAAAGGGAUCUUGUGCUACAAAGCACACACUCUGCCUCUGUUGUAUAGAAUCAUAAUUUUGAGGUUGAAAUUUAUAUUCUUAAUGUAAUUUCAAAGUGGAACACAGCUUUUAAAGCGGUGAAACAAUAAAGGUGGCCAUGCAUAGCUUACAGUUAUCGCUGUGCUGAUAACGCCUGCACCGAAGGUGUCAGAGUUCUCCACGCACAGGGUGCUUUUAAAACCAGUCAGGAUACCAAGAGAAGUACUAAAACACUUGAACCAUACUCUGAGAAAAUAAGGAGCGAGCGAGAGAAAUACCUGCGAGUUUUGCAUCAACACUUCUAAUAUUGAGACUUAAAUUCUCAUUCUGUUUCUGCCUGGGUUCUCCAGGCACUCUAUAACGUUAAUUAUAUCUUGCAACUCCAGGAUAUCGUUAAGAAUAUGUGACAUCCUCAUUUAUAUUAUUUUCAGUUUGCAUUUAUUCUUAUAUAUCUUUAGGGCUUGAAUAAUAAAAGGUAAAAAUCAAAAAGUCAAACUACAGUCUUUUUAUGAAUCACAAUGACGAACAUGGAAUAUGUACCUCAUAGUAGCCUGUACCCAUUGAAUAAGAUUUGGUGCUUAUAACCACAGUCACUGAACAGACAGAAGGCGAUUAAUGGAUUCCCAGUUUCAAAAGAAGCAUCUUUAGUUAGAAAAUGCGAAUGAAAAUUGCAGUAACCAGUUCUCCAGCACAAUGUUUUUCUUACAAGUGAUAGGUAGUUUAGGGAGUCAAUCACAUCAACUUUCUCAUUCUUACCUGGAUAAUAUUUUCCCUGCAUUAAUUUCCAAUUUAGCUUAUUAAGUAUAUGACAAAUCUGAAU